rnacentral:rRNA from 1 species
CAGCAGUGGGGAAUAUUGGACAAUGGGCGGAAGCCUGAUCCAGCCAUGCCGCGUGUGUGAAGAAGGCCUUUUGGUUGUAAAGCACUUUAAGCGAGGAGGAGGCUACCUGGAUUAAUACUCUGGGAUAGUGGACGUUACUCGCAGAAUAAGCACCGGCUAACUCUGUGCCAGCAGCCGCGGUAAUACAGAGGGUGCGAGCGUUAAUCGGAUUUACUGGGCGUAAAGCGUGCGUAGGCGGCUGAUUAAGUCGGAUGUGAAAUCCCUGAGCUUAACUUAGGAAUUGCAUUCGAUACUGGUCAGCUAGAGUAUGGGAGAGGAUGGUAGAAUUCCAGGUGUAGCGGUGAAAUGCGUAGAGAUCUGGAGGAAUACCGAUGGCGAAGGCAGCCAUCUGGCCUAAUACUGACGCUGAGGUACGAAAGCAUGGGGAGCAAACAGGAUUAGA